GAGUCAACCCAUUUCGGGCUGGGUGUGGUUUCUUUAUUUUCCUCUGUUCCAGACUUGUCUUUUUAUUCCAUUCAUCGAGGCUCUGAGCAGAUCUGUGUUCUCUGCAGCAGACUCACCAAUCAGGAGAGAAACGAUGGCCACAGUCCAAGUAGAGUAUUGUGCAGGAUGAGGCUACAAAUGGCACUUCGACCAGUUAGCCAUAGCAAUCAAGGCUCAGUGUCCUGGUGUGAAGGUGACUGGGUUCGAGGGGAGAUCCGGCAGCUUCGAGGUGAAGUUGAACAAUGAGCUGAUCUUCUCCAAGCUUCAGUCGGGAGCUUUUCCUGAAGCGCAUCAGAUAAUAAGUAUGGUGAGAUCCAAGAAGUAAGGGCCCGAUUCGAGCCCGAAGACAAAGAAGACUCGCCGUAAUGAGACAGCUGUAUUCACACCGGCAGACUGGCGGCUUUACUUUAAAAUAAAACCAGAAAAUUUGACCCCAAAAACAUGUAAAACACUUCAAUUGUCUUAAGAAACAGAUGAGAUGGCCAGUCUCCAGUGUGAAUACAGACCCAGAGUGGAGGGUGACGGGGCAGCUCGGAGGAACCAGGCACUGAUCUGCACUUCUGUUCAUGACUGUUCACACCAAAAACUCACGUGGUGUGAGCACGAUGCAAACCCAGAAGCGUUUCAGCUCCCCGAGGCCCGAAGAUCUGCUCCCAUCGACUCCGUCUGGCAACUUUUAAAUGAAACAGCUUACGCAGGGAACAGGGACGUGGAAACUAUCUCUCCGUCUACACCUCUUGUUUUUCCAUCUUUCCUAUGUUUUGGCCACUUUUGGCCCGUAAAAGAAGCAGAAUGUUAAAACGACUUUUCCGUACAAAGCUGCAAACUGCAACUUCCUCAAUGAGCAUACAAUAAAAUUCAAAAUUUAUUUCUGAAAUUCAAACGAAAAAAAAAAAGACCAAUUACACGAAAAAAUAAGCACAUUUCACAACAAAACUGUAUCAUGCAGUUGUGCAGGUGGAUUGACAGUCAUAAUGAAAGCUGUGUUUCUG